CCGCCGCAGCUCAAAAAUUCCCCACCAGAAACCCUCGCCGCCUCGACCCUCCAUGCCGCCACCCGCAUCGGCGCUGCCGGCCGAGCUUCUGGAGGAGAUCUUCCUCCGCCUGCCGCCGGACGAGGCUGAGCACCUUGUGCGCGCCUCCCUUGCCAGCAAGUUCUGGCUUGGCCUCCUCUCCGGCGCUCGCUUUCGCGGCCGCUACCGAAAUUUCGUCCGUGCAUUCCCGACGAUGACUGGGGGACUGGGAAUAUGAUGCGUGGGACUGCCGCCCUGGUCGUGUUCUCCUUGGCGAUGCAGGCUAUAAACAUGAUGGGCUGCCAGAGGGAGCUGGAUGCGCCCGUCCUGGUGGACAACAGCUAUGGGGCAGCAGUGCUCUGCGCUGCGAGCGGCUGUGACCACAGUACGUGCCACGCAGGGCCCUUCCAGGUCGUCUUCAUCGCUCUGAACAAGACUGAUGCUCAUGAUUGUGUUGCACAGGCGUGGGUGACCUUGCCGGUGACAGGUGACCACAGCAACCCCAUUUUGUUGAGCAUAUACCGUUCUCAUUUUGAUAACUGGAGCAAUCCAUGCUCCGGCCUUCAACUUGACUCCGAUGUGUACAUCCACGAAGCGCCUCCUGUCUUCGUCCAAAGGCACACUUCACUUCAAGCUUUGUGACUGCGUCGAUGAUCGCCUAGUAGGAAUUCUCAAGUACGACCUGAGCACUAAUUGCUUAUCAUUGAUUCAUAUGCCGCUUGCUGAUGAUGUUAUCCUCAUGGCGAUGGAGGAUGACAGUUUGGGGUUUGCACAUGUGGUUGGGUUAAUCCUCAAUCUGUGGUCAAGGCACAUGGGUUCUGACGGAGUUGCAUCAUGGACUCAGCGUACAGUCAUCAAUAUCAACAACAUCCUUCACAUUCGAAAUCCAAAGAAAAGACUUAGGCUGAUUGGAUCUGUGGAAGGCACCGAUAUCAUUUUCGUGACCACGGAUCUUGGAAUCUACAAGAUUAAUCUGAAGUCACUACAGUGGGAGAGAGAAAAGUUUCAAGUUUUCAUCCCAUACACGAGUUUCUACAAUUCACAAGGGUGACCCCCGGUGACGCGGCGCAUUAAGAAUGUGUGGUUGAAUAUGUACGAGGCUACACUCAUCAACAAGAUAGGUGACAAACUUGGAGGCAACAGGGGUCUCGCGAAGUCCUGAUGAAUUAUGUCAUCAUUCAGUAGCCCUUUUGGUGCAACGGUGCUUGCUUGUUUUCCCAUGUUGUUGGUAGCUUUUGUCAGUUAGCUUGAUAAUCUCCCGUGUUAGUGGCCGAGUGAAUUGAUUAUCUUUGUAAUGAACCUCUAAUUUGAUGUACCCUGUUGUAGAAUUUACUUGAAAAAGCAUUUGCAGACAGUAACCCGGUAUUACCAUUUUAAAAACUCUACAGUUUGCCCUGUCCCAGCUUUGAUCCAAUCUUUAAAUUCAUCUCUCAAAAGAUGCACAGUUAGGGAGUGGUUUCUGUUUCCCGAGAGAUGGUAUGAUAAACCUUUUUGCACCUUGGCUUGCUGGUUUUUUCUUAAUGAAUAAUCUGAUGGAUUUAAGUUCUGUUUUUUAGCAAGCAAUGUUGCUGAAGAGUAUAGCACGUGAACUGGAUCUCGAGCUAUAAGUUCAGUGAACUAUAGGAUAUGGGGCUGCAUGGCUAUGAAGAUCUCAAACAGAUUUUAAUUGCUUCAGUAGCUCCAGAAACCUGUUAGGUGUGUGUUCGUUAUUGGUUGUGCAUCUUUAGCCAUGUAAAGAGAUGAAAUAUGUUGUUACAUUUGGGGGGAUAAUGUGACAACCAACCUCUGUUUCCCUGAUGCUUCCUGAAGAAAGUAGUAGUGUACAUUGGUUAGAACAGAGUUUCACCUGUAACCUGCUCAACCUCUUCUCAGACCCACAAUUGCAGUAUUCAGAUGUGCCUCCCUCUACCUGCAUGUAACCAUCUCUCAAGCCUGAAGAUCUGUAAACGGCAAAUGAUCGUUGUUGUCGCUGGUUAUAUUUUAUCGAUUCAACAUAGCUGUUCUCUCAACUCAGAAGUUCCUGAACUGAACCUCCACUAGGGCCAGUACUGUUCUAUCUUUCACAGCACCCUUGUAGAUCGUAGCGCAUUUCAGUCUUCUAUUUUUCGCCACGGUAUUGUUCUGUGAAAGUUCCUUCCAACCACAUCAUGCGUAUCAGGUAUGUUUGAAUAUACCAUCCCUUGUUAUUUCUUUCUAUCUGUUUUCGUAUUCAUGCGUUCCAAAAGGCGUCAGGAAAUAAUACAGGAUGGAUAAUCUUUCUAGAAGCGUUCAUCAUACAUUCUUGUGUACUGGUUAUACAUGUCUAGGAACUUGAAUCCAUUGAAACACAGCAGAUCCACAAA